rnacentral:rRNA from 1 species
UACGUAGGGUGCGAGCGUUAAUCGGAAUUACUGGGCGUAAAGCGUGCGCAGGCGGUUUUGUAAGCCAGAUGUGAAAUCCCCGGGCUCAACCUGGGAAUGGCAUUUGGGACUGCAAGGCUGGAGUGCGGCAGAGGAGACUGGAAUUCCUGGUGUAGCAGUGAAAUGCGUAGAUAUCAGGAGGAAUACCGAUGGCGAAGGCGGGUCUCUGGGCCGAAACUGACGCUGAGGAGCGAAAGCGUGGGGAGCAAACAGG